CUUAGGGGUCCUCACGGGUCUUCUUCGUCCAGCGUCCCAGCUCUGGUCCACGAUCCAGGUCUCCAGAGUGACCGGGAACCCCAAUUAGUGCAACGUGUCCCCUCGCAUGGCUCGCUUCGCUCACCAUGCUUCGGCACAGAUGACCGUUCCAAUCAUAGUCCACGUGGAUUGUUAAAUCCAUACCCCUGAUGAAGUCCUAACGGACGAAACGCUUUGGGUUUCUACUACGAUUUGGCUGAUUAGAACAUACAUCUGAAUUUACUGGUUGAAGAUUGAUCUUUUCCAACCAAUAGCAGAGAACACCAGAUUGUAAUUCUUCAAAUCAUUGUAAAAACAACAUCUUCACACACUGUUGAUGUAUGCAAUCCUGAAAAAGAUUUUUAUAUUUC